GUUGUAUUAACUUACAUUCUUGUCCACAGCUUAAAAAGAAGACAAGGCAGUGCAAGUAGUCCAUCCUGACACAUCACUGGCUCGGUGCUCAACUAAAUCAAGUCAGAAUUCAGACCUCUUAUAUUAGGAAUAAACCUGAGUUCUGCCCCCAAACCAAGAGAAACAGCAUCACCUCAGC
rnacentral:lncRNA from 1 species